rnacentral:rRNA from 1 species
AGCGAACGCUGGCGGCAGGCUUAACACAUGCAAGUCGAGCGGGCACUUCGGUGUCAGCGGCGGACGGGUGAGUAACGCGUGGGAACGUGCCCUCUGGUUCGGAAUACCUCAGGGAAACUUGAGCUAAUACCGGAUACGCCCUUUUUGGGGCAUGGCUUGCUGCCGGAGGACCGGCCCGCGUCUGAUUAGCUAGUUGGUGGGGUAACGGCCUACCAAGGCGACGAUCAGUAGCUGGUCUGAGAGGAUGAUCAGCCACACUGGGACUGAUACACGGCCCAGACUCCUACGGGAGGCAGCAGUGGGGAAUAUUGGACAAUGGGGGCAACCCUGAUCCAGCCAUGCCGCGUGAGUGAUGAAGGCCUUAGGGUUGUAAAGCUCUUUUAUCCGGGACGAUAAUGACGGUACCGGAGGAAUAAGCCCCGGCUAACUUCGUGCCAGCAGCCGCGGUAA